AUGAACAAGGAAAUACAAUAAUAACCAUUUUAUUAUUGCCUCUAGGGCAUAUUUCCAACAAUAUUUACCCAUGAUUCUCGCACAACAUCGCGAAUAUACAAUAACUCGGUAUCCUCAAUACCACCGUGAUCCUUCCGGCGAUCACAACCACGACCAACACUUGGUCUCAAACCGUGAUCCUUACGGCGAUCACAACCACGACCAAUAUUUGGCCCGUGAUCCUUACGGCGAUCACAACCAACUUAUCUCAUCAUCAAACCGGGGUUGUUAUUAAUCAAGUUAUUAUUAAUACUGUUGACUCACGGUGGGACCGACACGAACUGGGCCCUUAUCCGCGGGCACGGCUAUCGAUAGAUUUAAUAUACACUCUGCAGAGGUUAGCACACUGUACCCACACCACGGAACCCAUGGCCUCGCACUCCCAUUUGGGUGGACCAACGACGUUUCGACAAAACCGAUCUACUGCCAUGACAUUCUCCCGGCCACUCCGACCAAAUCCCCAACGGGCUAGUCCUGGGUGGCCCCGUGUCUACCAAAGACACCCCGACCACCGUCGUGGUCAAAACACUCCCUCUCGGGGACUGGAUCCAUAAAACUAAAAACAAUGAGCACACAAGGUUAUGUCUGCCUACCUGAUCAGGGUAAGCACGCCCAUAACCUUCCCUCGUGGGAGGCACCGGCGAGAUGCAUGACAAUAGACCCAGUUAGGACCUUACCCAUACGGUAAGCGUGGUUGCACUGGUCAGUUUCGAUCUGGCGACACCAUGACUCAGCCAACAGUUGUUCAAGUUCAAUUAAAUCCGGUUAACUUGAAUGCAAUAUGCUGAGCCAUGAUAAAGUAACAUGAUGCAUUUACAAUGCAUGAGCAUGAUAUCAACAUAAUCAUGAGGGUACAACAUAACUAUCCACCAUAUCAACAAUGAAUCAUAUCCAACUGAACAUGGCAUAAUGACGAGCAUAAAUAUUACAAGUGCAACACUACUCAUAACAUAACAUGACCACUAGCAUCAACAAUAAAUACCAUGCAAGAACAUAUCAACAGUGCUAUCAUGCAAGCAUUUAACCAACUGGAUGCAAUAGAACAUGUAUAAGAACAGUACUCGGGACAGAUAGCUGUCAUGCACCGAAGACCAUCACCAACAUCAACAUGUACUACUAGCAAGCAUAAGCAUAUGAAGGAACACUAGCAACUAGCAGGGCAUGACAACUAGGUGCAUGACAACAUAGCAAGAAAGUAAGCACUAACCCAAAAGCAUUACCGAAGCAACGAUAACCAUCUUUUAAACAAGCAAACAUUUAUUCAAUAUUCAAGUUGAAAACCAUGGCUACUGCAUGACUAUCAUGCAAGUGGGUAUUGUGGCUUGCCUGGGGAUGAAGAAGGCACCGGGGAGAAGUGCGGUGAAGCCGCGGAAAGACUUGCCGGAAACAGUUCUCUCUCGGAGGGGCUGUUUACGUGCAAGGGCAAAAAGGUCAUUUUCACAGUGUCAAACCAUAGUGAAAAUGAAACCAACAGAACGGGCUCUACGAAACGAAGAAGUGGGCUUUGGAUUCACCUCAUUUGGAGUUGUGGUUAAAAAGAUAUGAGGGGUUGAAGUUCAAGGACUAAUCUGUAAAGAUUUCUCCACAAACAGGCCCCUGAGGUGAAAAACAGAAAACGUAUUACAGAUAAUACGCUUACAGAACUGGAAAACGCAUUCAUGUCUUAAGAAGGAUCGGAAUACGCUUUCAGUAAAGGAAAACGUACUCUAACCUGAAGCAGUAUUGUAAUUCGCUUUCACCUAAGGAAAACGUACGCCCGAGUUGACGCUUCCACUUAAGUGACGUGGCGGUGGCGGGGCCCGGCUUGAGCAGCUGACAGAGGGGGCCCGCCUUAUCCAUCUACCUCUCCUCGCGCCUGUCUUCUUCCUCCUCGCUGCCUCCCCGAUCAGUGACAGAGGAGCGAGGGAAGGGAAGAGGCCGGCGCCGGCCCGGCCAACUCCGGCCGUCUCCGACCGAGGUGAGGGCACCGGCGGCCGCGGGAUGCGACGGCGCACCCGUCCAGAGGGUAAAGAGGCGUCGGGGAGGAGUGGAGAGAAGGCAACGGGAGGAGGCAGAGGCGGAGCAGAGGCGCUGCCGGCGACGGGCGCUGGCGAUUCCGGCCACCUACGGCCAAGUGGAACACGCCGGCGAGGUCGGGGAAGGACGGCGCGUCCGUUCAGAGGGCAAACGGGCGCCGGGGAGGAGCGGGGCUGCCGCGGCUGGAGGCAACAGAGAGCGCGGCCGGCGGCGGCCGUUCAAUGGAGGGGCGGCCACAGGGCCUCCGGCGACAAACUGAGGGAUUGAGGAGGUGAGGUGGACUCCGGUGGGUCUCCUGGUGGUGGAACGAGGAG
rnacentral:lncRNA from 1 species